rnacentral:rRNA from 1 species
GUCAUGUUAUCGAUAUGUGAAUACAUAGCAUAUCAGAAGGCACACCCGGAGAACUGAAACAUCUUAGUACCCGGAGGAAGAGAAAGAAAAUUCGAUUCCCUUAGUAGCGGCGAGCGAAACGGGAAGAGCCCAAACCAACAAGCUUGCUUGUUGGGGUUGUAGGACACUCUAUACGGAGUUACAAAGGACGACAUUAGACGAAUCAUCUGGAAAGAUGAAUCAAAGAAGGUAAUAAUCCUGUAGUCGAAAAUGUUGUCUCUCUUGAGUGGAUCCUGAGUACGACGGAGCACGUGAAAUUCCGUCGGAAUCUGGGAGGACCAUCUCCUAAGGCUAAAUACUCUCUAGUGACCGAUAGUGAACCAGUACCGUGAGGGAAAGGUGAAAAGCACCCCGGAAGGGGAGUGAAAUAGAACCUGAAACCGUGUGCUUACAAGUAGUCAGAGCCCGUUAAUGGGUGAUGGCGUGCCUUUUGUAGAAUGAACCGGCGAGUUACGAUUUGAUGCAAGGUUAAGCAGUAAAUGUGGAGCCGUAGCGAAAGCGAGUCUGAAUAGGGCGUUUAGUAUUUGGUCGUAGACCCGAAACCAGGUGAUCUACCCUUGGUCAGGUUGAAGUUCAGGUAACACUGAAUGGAGGACCGAACCGACUUACGUUGAAAAGUGAGCGGAUGAACUGAGGGUAGCGGAGAAAUUCCAAUCGAACCUGGAGAUAGCUGGUUCUCUCCGAAAUAGCUUUAGGGCUAGCCUCAAGUGAUGAUUAUUGGAGGUAGAGCACUGUUUGGACGAGGGGCCCCUCUCGGGUUACCGAAUUCAGACAAACUCCGAAUGCCAAUUAAUUUAACUUGGGAGUCAGAACAUGGGUGAUAAGGUCCGUGUUCGAAAGGGAAACAGCCCAGACCACCAGCUAAGGUCCCAAAAUAUAUGUUAAGUGGAAAAGGAUGUGGCGUUGCCCAGACAACUAGGAUGUUGGCUUAGAAGCAGCCAUCAUUUAAAGAGUGCGUAAUAGCUCACUAGUCGAGUGACACUGCGCCGAAAAUGUACCGGGGCUAAACAUAUUACCGAAGCUGUGGAUUGUCCUUUGGACAAUGGUAGGAGAGCGUUCU